rnacentral:rRNA from 1 species
AAAUUGAAGAGUUUGAUCAUGGCUCAGAUUGAACGCUGGCGGCAGGCCUAACACAUGCAAGUCGAGCGGUAGCACAGAGAGCUUGCUCUCGGGUGACGAGCGGCGGACGGGUGAGUAAUGUCUGGGAAACUGCCUGAUGGAGGGGGAUAACUACUGGAAACGGUAGCUAAUACCGCAUAACGUCGCAAGACCAAAGUGGGGGACCUUCGGGCCUCAUGCCAUCAGAUGUGCCCAGAUGGGAUUAGCUAGUAGGUGGGGUAACGGCUCACCUAGGCGACGAUCCCUAGCUGGUCUGAGAGGAUGACCAGCCACACUGGAACUGAGACACGGUCCAGACUCCUACGGGAGGCAGCAGUGGGGAAUAUUGCACAAUGGGCGCAAGCCUGAUGCAGCCAUGCCGCGUGUGUGAAGAAGGCCUUCGGGUUGUAAAGCACUUUCAGCGGGGAGGAAGGCGAUAAGGUUAAUAACCUCAUCGAUUGACGUUACCCGCAGAAGAAGCACCGGCUAACUCCGUGCCAGCAGCCGCGGUAAUACGGAGGGUGCAAGCGUUAAUCGGAAUUACUGGGCGUAAAGCGCACGCAGGCGGUCUGUCAAGUCGGAUGUGAAAUCCCCGGGCUCAACCUGGGAACUGCAUUCGAAACUGGCAGGCUAGAGUCUUGUAGAGGGGGGUAGAAUUCCAGGUGUAGCGGUGAAAUGCGUAGAGAUCUGGAGGAAUACCGGUGGCGAAGGCGGCCCCCUGGACAAAGACUGACGCUCAGGUGCGAAAGCGUGGGGAGCAAACAGGAUUAGAUACCCUGGUAGUCCACGCCGUAAACGAUGUCGAUUUGGAGGUUGUGCCCUUGAGGCGUGGCUUCCGGAGCUAACGCGUUAAAUCGACCGCCUGGGGAGUACGGCCGCAAGGUUAAAACUCAAAUGAAUUGACGGGGGCCCGCACAAGCGGUGGAGCAUGUGGUUUAAUUCGAUGCAACGCGAAGAACCUUACCUGGUCUUGACAUCCACAGAACUUUCCAGAGAUGGAUUGGUGCCUUCGGGAACUGUGAGACAGGUGCUGCAUGGCUGUCGUCAGCUCGUGUUGUGAAAUGUUGGGUUAAGUCCCGCAACGAGCGCAACCCUUAUCCUUUGUUGCCAGCGGUUAGGCCGGGAACUCAAAGGAGACUGCCAGUGAUAAACUGGAGGAAGGUGGGGAUGACGUCAAGUCAUCAUGGCCCUUACGACCAGGGCUACACACGUGCUACAAUGGCAUAUACAAAGAGAAGCGACCUCGCGAGAGCAAGCGGACCUCAUAAAGUAUGUCGUAGUCCGGAUUGGAGUCUGCAACUCGACUCCAUGAAGUCGGAAUCGCUAGUAAUCGUAGAUCAGAAUGCUACGGUGAAUACGUUCCCGGGCCUUGUACACACCGCCCGUCACACCAUGGGAGUGGGUUGCAAAAGAAGUAGGUAGCUUAACCUUCGGGAGGGCGCUUACCACUUUGUGAUUCAUGACUGGGGUGAAGUCGUAACAAGGUAACCGUAGGGGAACCUGCGGUUGGAUCACCUCCUUACCUUAAAGAA